UACAGAGGUCCCAAGCGUUGUUCGGAUUCACUGGGCGUAAAGGGUGCGUAGGUGGUUAGGUAAGUCCGAUGUGAAAUCUCCAGGCUCAACCUGGAAAUGGCAUUGGAUACUAUCUAGCUUGAGGAGUGGAGGGGGGACUGGAAUUCUCGGUGUAGCAGUGAAAUGCGUAGAUAUCGAGAGGAACACCAGUGGCGAAGGCGAGUCCCUGGACACUUCCUGACACUGAGGCGCGAAAGCUAGGGGAGCAAACGGG
rnacentral:rRNA from 1 species